AAUGUUGUCUGGCUCGAGGCC
rnacentral:miRNA from 1 species